rnacentral:tmRNA from 1 species
GGGGGCGUACCGGUUUCGACGGGGAUGCAGAAGUAGGAAUAGCGGGCGGUGGUGCCUGACCACCCAAAAACAGGCAUUCUUUAUAAAUUAAAGAACAACACAGAAUACGCUUACGCUGCCUGAUUAAAGGCGGCCGUCUGACCCGGAAGGACCACGAGCCGGAAUCAGGCGUCGUUUAGUGGUGAACGUGCGUGCGCUAAGCUUUGCGCGUACCAUGUAUCAUGAAGCUUACCUGACCAGAGGGCGUGACGGCUUGCCCACUGUGACGGGAACAGGGAGAGAAAGACUCCUGCAAUAACCGUCUGCGCCCGGAGAAGUUCCUAUGGAUGUGUUUUCGGACGGGAGUUCAACUCUCCCCGCCUCCACCA